AAGGGAGACCUAAUUCCGGUAGGAGACGAAAAAAAAGUAGUCCCUACCAAGAAUCAAUCCCAAAAGGUCGGAGCGAGGCAAAAUUGGCUUUCAAACUAGGUUCUGGGUUCACACAAGACCUGAAUCAGGAACAAGGACUAUUAGCUCAGGUGGUUAGAGCGCACCCCUGAUAAGGGUGAGGUCCCUGGUUCGAGUCCAGGAUGGCCCACCUGUACAGGUGGCAAAAACAAAGAAAAGAAGCGAGGAAUCAGCACCUUAUCUUACUUAUAUAGUAAGAGAGAAUGCUGGCUCUGAGUACAGAGUCCAGAGGAACCUUGAAAACUGCAUAGAGCUAGGUGAAAAAGCCAAAAAAGAAGACCACAA
rnacentral:tRNA from 1 species